rnacentral:rRNA from 1 species
GGGCCCGCACAAGCGGUGGAGUAUGUGGUUUAAUUCGAUGCAACGCGAAGAACCUUACCAGGGUUUGACAUCCUGCGAAUCUCUUGGAAACUUGAGAGUGCCUUCGGGAGCGCAGUGACAGGUGGUGCAUGGCUGUCGUCAGCUCGUGUCGUGAGAUGUUGGGUUAAGUCCCGCAACGAGCGCAACCCACGUCUUUAGUUGCCAGCAUUUAGUUGGGCACUCUAGAGAGACUGCCGGUGAUAAACCGGAGGAAGGUGUGGAUGACGUCAAGUCAUCAUGCCCCUUACAUCCUGGGCUACACACGUACUACAAUGCUACGGACAGAGGGCAGCAAGUUCGCGAGGACAAG